rnacentral:misc_RNA from 1 species
GUGCUCUUAUUAGUCGGAAUACGAAUGGACAAUCGAGAAAUAGAGGAAAUUCGAGCAAUAGAAGUAAUCAGCGUAAUAGGGAGGCGAAUUCUAAUCAAGACUCAAAGGGAAUCAUUUGUUAUUACUGUUGUAAGCCUGGUCAUAGAAGGUAUAAUUGUUUAAAGCUUCAAAGAAAAAAUCAGCGGUCCCAGAAGACGAAUAUGGCAGCAAAUGAUAAUUUUUCCUCCACUGAGAAAACUAUCUCGAUAUCUGUAGAGGAGUAUGCAUAGUUUUCUCAGUAUCAGACAUCUCUAAAGUCUUCCAGUGCCCUCGUCACUGCCAUUACUAAGUCAGGUAAACCCACCAUAUGCUUAGUAUAUUCCUCAUCCAAAUGGGUCAUUGA